rnacentral:tRNA from 1 species
GCUGGAGUAGCUCAGUUGGUAGAGCACGUCCUUGGUAAGGACGAGGUCACGGGUUCAAUCCCCGUCUCCAGCU